CCUACGGGAGGCAGCAGUAGGGAAUCUUCCACAAUGGGCGAAAGCCUGAUGGAGCAACGCCGCGUGGGUGAAGAAGGUCUUCGGAUCGUAAAACCCUGUUGUUAGAGAAGAAAGUGCGUGAGAGUAACUGUUCACGUUUCGACGGUAUCUAACCAGAAAGCCACGGCUAACUACGUGCCAGCAGCCGCGGUAAUACGUAGGUGGCAAGCGUUAUCCGGAUUUAUUGGGCGUAAAGGGAACGCAGGCGGUCUUUUAAGUCUGAUGUGAAAGCCUUCGGCUUAACCGGAGUAGUGCAUUGGAGACUGGGAGACGUGAGUGCAGAAGAGGAGGGUGGAACUCGAUGUGUAGCGGUGAAAUGCGUAGAUAUAUGGAAGAACACCAGUGGCGAAAGCGGCUCUCUGGUCUGUAACUGACGCUGAGGUUCGAAAGCGUGGGUAGCAAACAGGAUUAGAUACCCCUGUAGUC
rnacentral:rRNA from 1 species